AAAAAUUUGAAGGAAAAGAAAUCUUUUACCCUUCUUUACCAACAGGUUCACCUCCUUUGUCUAGCAAAGAACCUGAAGAGCUGGGAGCCAAAUACCAGCCCCUGGUGAGGCCACUGCUUCAGCUCUGGUAGGAAAGGCUUCAGUCCGGGGUAGGAAAGCAGUAUGCUUUUUUCUCGAGGUUGGAAGACUCUAUAUCAUAGGCUUCUCCGACAACUUUAGAUUGCAAACUACAGGCAUAGACCUGCCCUCUUAGCUGCCAGACUGACCAGCUGUUAUCUCCAUUCAUCUCUCUCAGGUGAGCAAAAUAUUCCAGAUGAACAAACUAUCUUGUGGAGGAACCAGCAGAAAACUGACAGGUGGACUUAACCACUGUGGCCGCAAAGCCUUCAGGUCCUCUGGAACGUGAUCUCACCCUACCUGUCCAAACCUAAUUUCUACCAUUUCUACAAAUGCUUGUUUUUCUCCAUAAGAAGCAGAAAAGCAUGGGAUUCCUCACCUUGCCCUUCUUGUCUCCUGUCUCUCUCCCUACAUUGAU
rnacentral:lncRNA from 1 species